UACGGAGGAUGCAAGCGUUAUCCGGAAUGAUUGGGCGUAAAGCGUCCGCAGGUGGCAAUGUAAGUCUGCUGUUAAAGAGUCUAGCUCAACUAGAUAAAAGCAGUGGAAACUACAUAGCUAGGGUACGUUCGGGGCAGAGGGAAUUCCUGGUGUAGCGGUGAAAUGCGUAGAGAUCAGGAAGAACACCAGUGGCGAAGGCGCUCUGCUAGGCCGUAACUGACACUGAGGGACGAAAGCUAGGGGAGCGAAUGGG
rnacentral:rRNA from 1 species